rnacentral:rRNA from 1 species
UACGAAGGGGGCUAGCGUUGUUCGGAAUUACUGGGCGUAAAGGGCUCGUAGGUGGCCAACUAAGUCAGACGUGAAAUCCCUCGGCUUAACCGGGGAACUGCGUCUGAUACUGGAUGGCUUGAGUUUGGGAGAGGAAUGCGGAAUUCCAGGUGUAGCGGUGAAAUGCGUAGAUAUCUGGAGGAACACCGGUGGCGAAGGCGGCAUUCUGGACCAAUACUGACGCUGAGGAGCGAAAGCCAGGGGAGCAAACGGG